GUGCCUGCUUAGCACGUAUACUAAAAAUGGAACAAUGAGAUUAGCGGGGCCCCUGCAUAGGGAUGACAGGCAAACUCGUGAAGUGUUUCAUUUAAAA
ensembl:snRNA U6 U6 spliceosomal RNA